rnacentral:rRNA from 1 species
AUUGAACGCUAGCGGGAUGCUUUACACAUGCAAGUCGAACGGCAGCGCGGACUUCGGUCUGGCGGCGAGUGGCGAACGGGUGAGUAAUGUAUCGGAACGUGCCCAGUAGCGGGGGAUAACUACGCUAAAGCGUAGCUAAUACCGCAUACGCCCUACGGGGGAAAGCAGUGGAUCGUAAGACCUUGCACUCUUGGCGCGGCCGAUAUCGGAUUAGCUAGUUGGUGAGGUAACGGCUCACCAAGGCGACGAUCCGUAGCUGGUUUUAGAGGACGACCAGCCACACUGGGACUGAGAAACGGCCCAGACUCCUACGGGAAGCAGCAGUGGGGAAGUUUGGACAAUGGGGGCAACCCUGAUCCAGCCAUCCCGCGUGUGGGAUGAAGGCCUUCGGGUUGUAAAGAACUUUUGGCAGGAAAGAAACGGCGCGGGCUAAUACCCCGUGGAACUGACGGUACCUGCAGAAUAAGCACCGGCUAACUACGUG